rnacentral:rRNA from 1 species
UUACGCUGUUAUCCCUAAGGUAAUUGGUUUUAAAAUUCUAAAUUUUAGGAUUAUUUAUUCAUUAAUUAAUGUUUUAUUAUUUAAAAGUUUAUUUAAUUUUAAAAUUACCCCAAUUAAAUAUAUAAGUUAAUUUAAUAAAUUAUUAUAUUGUAGUUUUAAUUAAAUUAUAUAUAAAAUUCUAUAGGGUCUUCUCGUCUUUUAAUUAUAUUUAAGAAUUUUAACUUAAAUUUUAAUUUUAAUUUUUAUUUUUAUUUAUAUAGUAUAUAUUUCAUUAAAUCUUUCAUACUAGAUUUCAAUUAUAAAACUAAUGAUUAUGCUACCUUUGUACAGUUAUUUAUACUGCAGCCUUUUAAAAUUAUCAAUGGGCAGAUUUGAUUAAUAUUCUUUUCUAUAAGACAUGUUUUUGUUAAACAGGCG